rnacentral:ncRNA from 1 species
UUUUUUGUUGGGUUCCUUGUUGGUUGUUGAUUGGUCCACAAAGGUUUUAUUCUGGCUAAAUAAUUCAAUUUAUCUAUGUUUGGACAUGCAGCUUUUUGGUUAAUUUUCUAAAUGAAUAAAAUAUGGCAGUUCUUGGUUUUAGGUGAUCAAGGUUAUUUGGACCUAGUAAAUGAUAAAUGUUUUGACUAAAUUUGUGCCAGCAGUCGCGGUUAUACAAAUAAAGCUUUUGAAUUAAUUUGGAUUUAUAGUUAAAUUAUUUUUUUUAUUUAUAUUGAAAUUAUUAAGGUGAAAUUUUUAAUUUUAAUUAAAAUAUUGAUUUGUUGAUUGAGGCUAUUAAACUUUACUUUAAACUAGGAUUAGAUACCCUAUUAUUAUUAGCGUAAAUAACUAAUCCGGGUGAUUUAUAGUGUUCUUAAAAACUAAAGAAUUUGGCGGUAUUUUAGUCUUUUCAGAGGAACCUGUCCUAUAAUUGAUAGUCCACGAUUAAUUGGACCUUUUCUAUUUAGUUUGUAUAUCGUCGUCGUUGAAUAUCUUAUUAGAGAUAAAAUUUUCUGAAUAUUGGAUGGAUUAAUAAAUCAGAUCAAGAUACAGCUUAUGGAGGGGAAGAGAUGGGUUACAAUAAGGUUACUUAUACGGAUUUAUUAAAUAAUUUUUUUAAUGAAGGUGGAUUUGAAAGUAAAUUUUUUUAUUUUAGGAAUUUGAUUUAGCUCUAAAAUAUGCACAUAUCGCCCGUCGCUUCCAUUAUAAGUGGAAUAAGUCGUAACAAAGUAGGUGUACUGGAAAGUGUACCUAGAAAGA